UCCUCGGUAGCUCAGUCGGCAGAGCGGGUGGCUGUUAACCACUAGGUCGCAGGUUCGAGUCCUGCCCGGGGAGCCA
rnacentral:tRNA from 1 species